UUUCAAGUGCUUCAUUUCUUACGGCACAACCGCACAAGUUCGGCAACUGAUUUAGAGUUUAGACGCCGCUCGAUCUGUCGUACUUAUAAAUCGUUGUAUUACGGGUUCGGCGCAUGAGAAAGUUCGCCAUCUAAACCGAGUCUAAUGCUGUCUGCAUGGCGAAUUCGGUAUGCGUAUCUCCGAUAUUGAUAUGCGCGCGAUAAUGCUCUUUAUUUAAACAAGCGUUCAGUAUGUAACACGCAUUUCGCGCAGUAAAAUACUUCAUCGGUUUGACAUAUGCAUUGUUGUAUAAAAGUAAAAAGCUGAGCUGAAACAUAAUAUAAACUAAGUAAAAAUAUAAAAGUGAAAAUAUAAAAGUGAAAAUAUAAAAGUAAAAACAUAAAAGUGAAAAUAUAAAAGUUAAAAGUGAAAAUAUAAAAGUGAAAAUAUAAAAGUGAAAAUAUAAAAGUUAAAGUUGGAG